rnacentral:rRNA from 1 species
CUUGAACCCUAUAAGAGGUCCAGCCUGCCCAGUGAAACAAUUCAACGGCCGCGGUAUCCUAACCGUGCGAAGGUAGCGUAAUCACUUGUUCUCUAAAUCAGGACUAGUAUGAACGGCAUCACGAGGGUUAUACUGUCUCCUUUUUCCAAUUAGUGAAUUUAAUUUUCCCGUGAAGAAGCGGGAAUAAACCUAUAAGACGAGAAGACCCUAUGGAGCUUUAAACAAUCUAGCAUCUGCCUAUAUUCUUCAUGUUUCAGAACUCUCUAGACCUUCUACAUAAUGACUAGAAGUUUUAGGUUGGGGUGACCGCGGAGUAAAACCCAUCCUCCAUAAUGAAAGAAUUUUAAUUCUUAACCAAGAAAUACCUAUCUAAGUAUUAACACACUGACAUUUAUUGACCCAAUACAAUUGAUCAACGAAC